CUGGCGGAUGCUUUAAAUGCAAGUCGGGCGGCAGCAUGGACUUCGGUCUGAUGGCGAGCGGCGAACGGGUGAGUAAUGCAUCGGAACGUACCUAGUCGUGGGGGAUAACUAGUCGAAAGAUUAGCUAAUACCGCAUACGUCCUACGGGAGAAAGCAGGGGAUCGCAAGACCUUGCGCGAUUGGAGCGGCCGAUGUCUGAUUAGCUAGUUGGUGGGGUAAAGGCUCACCAAGGCGACGAUCAGUAGCGGGUCUGAGAGGAUGAUCCGCCACACUGGAACUGAGACACGGUCCAGACUCCUACGGGAGGCAGCAGUGGGGAAUUUUGGACAAUGGGGGCAACCCUGAUCCAGCCAUUCCGCGUGAGUGAAGAAGGCCUUCGGGUUGUAAAGCUCUUUCGGCAGGAACGAAACGGUUCGCUCUAACAUAGCGGACUACUGACGGUACCUGAAGAAGAAGCACCGGCUAACUACGUGCCAGCAGCCGCGGUAAUACGUAGGGUGCGAGCGUUAAUCGGAAUUACUGGGCGUAAAGCGUGCGCAGGCGGCUUUUUAAGCCAGAUGUGAAAUCCCCGGGCUUAACCUGGGAACUGCAUUUGGAACUGGAAGGCUAGAGUGCGGCAGAGGGGGGUAGAAUUCCACGUGUAGCAGUGAAAUGCGUAGAGAUGUGGAGGAAUACCGAUGGCGAAGGCAGCCCCCUGGGUCGACACUGACGCUCAUGCACGAAAGCGUGGGGAGCAAACAGGAUUAGAUACCCUGGUAGUCCACGCCCUAAACGAUGUCAACUAGUUGUUGGAGGAGUGAAAUCCUUUAGUAACGAAGCU
rnacentral:rRNA from 1 species